AUGGCCUGGACCCCUUUCCUGCUCCCCGUCCUCACUCUCUGCACAGGUUCUGUGUUCGCCUAUGAACUGACACAGCCACCCUCGGUGUCUGUGUCCCUUGGACAGACGGCCAAGAUCACCUGCUCUGGAGAUGCAGUGGAUAAAAAAUACUCUUACUGGUACCAGCAGAAGGCAGGCCAGACCCCUGUGCUGCUUAUAUACAAAGACAGUGAGCGGCCCUCAGGGAUCCCUGACCGAUUCUCUGGGUCCAGCUCGGGGAAGACAGUCACACUGACCAUCACUGGGGCUCAGGCUGAGGAUGAGGCUGACUAUUACUGUCAGUCAGCAGACAGCAGUGAUAAUCUCAAAGUGACACAGGCAGAUGGGGAAGUAGAAGAAAAUAUGACCAAAUAUGGUUUUGUUGGUUCGUUUAAUCACUCCUUGGAGAAUAAAUUGCAGAGGACUAAGAUUGGAGACUGUGAGACAGUCCCUGCAGUGGUCUGGAUAGGUUUGUGUAAGGAGGAGUUAAACAAAGCACAGUGA